UCUCUGGAGGGAAUUGGGGGCCACAUCUUGAUACAAAAGCUAUUCUUUGAGGUGCUGGAGUGAGUCCUUUUCCCUGCCGACUUUAAACCUUCCCGUUAGAUGACCUUUAUUCUUGUGGCUUGGGCAAUCGUCUGCAUGGCUAUAUAGCCCAGCCUCCACUUCUCUAAUGUAUAGGAUGAUUACCCACAGAACAUCCCCCACACUCCCAGAUGCUGCUUAGAUUUCUCAAAACCAUAAUAUCCAUACCUGGCUUUGGAGGUAAAGCAGCAGAAGCCCUCACCAGACCCCAGCACCCAAGCUUGGACUUUCCAGCCUCCAGAAUCAUGAAACAAAAUAACUUCAGCUUCUUCACGUUACUCAGCUCCUAGUUCUCUCUCGGAGUACCGACACCAGGGGUGCAGUUGCCUCUGUGAAAGCCUUCCUGGGCACUCACCACCCGGGUUAGUGGUGGCAUCAGCCUCAGGACUCACUGGACUCACUCCGGGCUCACUGCAUUUAGGAGGCUGUGUCUGCGUGGCCUACCCUUGCAUCCAGCCUUUGUGAAUGAGCUGAGCAAUGCAUUGGGGAAGAUGGUUAUUCUGUGUCUCACAAGAAACUAUGCCUCUCUGUUUCCGCUCUUAAUGUAAUACACCGCGCCUGCCAUCCCCGCGGCCUGCCGGUCUGGGAUGCCUGACUUGCUUUAACCAAUAUACUGUGACAGAGUCACCCUCAGCCGGUUCUACCCAGAGUGUUAUGCCUGGCAGCUUUGCCUUUGUGAGCUCAGGACCCCUGAGCUGCCUGUGGGGGAUCAUAUGGAGAGGCCACCUGAAGGGGCAUGGGGAGAAAUGAUACGGGAAUGCCACGUGGAGGAGCUGACGAAGCCAGACAAGAGCAAGAGCUGGAGCCCCUGACAUCUGAUCCCCUGUUCUGCAGUCACAGCUCGGCCCAGCCAUUUAAGGUUCUCAAACUGAUGCAGACCUGGAAGUGAACAAGCCACUGUGGGUGCCGCAGUCUCGGCCAGUGUCAUGGGAGCAGGGACAGGCCCCCUCCUUAGCCUUCUGUCAAACUCUUGAACACAGGACAAUGAGCAGAAAACAGGUGGUCAUUAUUUUAAGCCACUGGUAUUUGGAUAUUUUGUUGUGUGGCAACAGUUAUCUGAGACAAGGUUUCCUAUUUGCCCGCAGGCCCGAAAGAAGGAGAAGGAUGCUGACCUAACAUAAAUAUGCUCAUUCCCUACAUCAAUGAGUGAA